rnacentral:rRNA from 1 species
UGGGGAAUUUUGGACAAUGGGGGCAACCCUGAUCCAGCCAUCCCGCGUGUGCGAUGAAGGCCUUCGGGUUGUAAAGCACUUUUGGCAGGGAAGAAAUAGGUCUGGCUAAUAUCUAGACUGAAUGACGGUACCUGCAGAGUAAGCACCGGCUAACUACGUGCCAGCAGCCGCGGUAAUACGUAGGGUGCAAGCGUUAAUCGGAAUUACUGGGCGUAAAGCGUGCGCAGGCGGUUCGGAAAGAAGGAUGUGAAAUCCCAGGGCUUAACCUUGGAAUGGCAUUCUUAACUACCGGGCUAGAGUAUGUCAGAGGGGGGUAGAAUUCCACGUGUAGCAGUGAAAUGCGUAGAGAUGUGGAGGAAUACCGAUGGCGAAGGCAGCCCCCUGGGAUAAUACUGACGCUCAUGCACGAAAGCGUGGGGAGCAAACAGGAUUAGAUACCCUGGUAGUCCACGCCCUAAACGAUGUCAACUAGCUGUUGGGGCCUUCGGGCCUUAGUAGCGCAGCUAACGCGUGAAGUUGACCGCCUGGGGAGUACGGUCGCAAGAUUAAAACUCAAA